UUAAAUUUUUUUUGCUAUAUGAUAAAAUAUAAAUUAUAAGACAAGAUCCUAAGUGCAUAGAAAGGCGAACAACUGAUAGAGACCGGAGGAAAUAGCUGCAGGUAUUAUUUAUCCUAUUAAGGUGUGAGUGUUCCGAUCGACAAAAAGAGGACAGCUAAGAAGGAAAAAGGAAGGUCCAGAGGAUCCGCUCAUGGCAAAUAAGUUUUUUUUUGGCGUUUUUGAUACAGUUCUGAGUUGCAGUACUGCAAGGCCGCCGGGAUGUUCCAGUCUGAACGAAUGAUUAUGGUACUCCCAACCUUGGCUUUCCCUAGUUAGGACUGUAUUAUCCUAAAUCUGAUGACAGACGACAACUGGAAGCGGUAAUGUCAUCAGAAAUUAUAUUUUAUCUUAUUUUCUUAGUUUCUUUGUAUAAAAUAUAAGUUUUGUUGUUGUAUUUUGGCGAAUCGUUGCAAUAGCUAAUUAAUCUGUCGCAUUGUAAAGUCGAGCUUUUUGAUACUUUGUUGUGCUUUUUAAAGUUAAUUAUAAAAUAUUUAAUCAAAUUAAAUAUAAAUUGUUAUUAAAAAUUUGUAAACCCCCAAAAUUAAUAGAAAAAAUAAUCAUAAUAAACAAGGAAAGUGAUAUUCAUAAUAAACAAGGAAAGUGAUAUUCGAUCACUUGUUAAUUCAACAACAAAUAAAACAAA